rnacentral:rRNA from 1 species
UACGUAGGGGGCAAGCGUUGUCCGGAUUUAUUGGGCGUAAAGAGCGUGUAGGCGGCCAGGUAGGUCCGUUGUGAAAACUCGAGGCUCAACCUCGAGACGUCGGCGGAAACCCUCUGGCUAGAGUCCGGAAGAGGAGAGUGGAAUUCCUGGUGUAGCGGUGAAAUGCGCAGAUAUCAGGAGGAACACCGAUGGCGAAGGCAGGUCUCUGGGCCAUAACUGACGCUGAGAAGCGAAAGCAUGGGGAGCGAACAGG